CCCUUAGAUGUUCUGGGCCGCACGCGUGCUACACUGACCGGUGCAACAAGUUUCUUUCCUUGGCUCGAUAGGCCUGGGUAAUCUUUGAACACCGGUCGUGAUGGGGAUAGAUCCUUGCAAUUUUUGAUCUUCAACGAGGAAUUCCUAGUAAAUGCGAGUCAUCAUCUCGCGUUGAUUACGUCCCUGCCCUUUGUACACACCGCCCGUCGCACCUACCGAUUGAAUGGUCCGGUGAAGCCUCCGGAUUGGCGCGCACCUCGGUGCCGCCGAGAAGUUGGCUAAACCUUACCAUUUAGAGGAAGGUGAAGUCGUANCA
rnacentral:rRNA from 1 species